GUUUGCUUCCUCCCUUCCCGAAUCGAUCUUAGUGUAAUUUUUAGGCCUGUUGGGGAUGACCUUUUUAGGCCUUUAAGCACUGGAACAAUCCAACCAUUUCCUUCUUUGCCUGCCUCAGUUUCAAAUGAACUGAUAAUCUCUGCAACAGAAUCCUUGGAGAAGCACUCAUCAAUUAUUGACUGCUUUUUCAAGAUACUUUCUUCAUCGAUCUGAACGUCUGUAGAGAACUCCUUGAUUGCAGAUCCGACAGCAGCCUCGUCGCCAGUGUUUAAGCUUAGUAAGUGCUUCUCUAGCUCUGGCAGUUUCUCCAGAGGUACAAAAUGUGUUGCAAGUCCAACAGCUACCAAUUCUUUACCGUUCAGCCUCGCUCCAGUUAAACCCAAGUAUUCCCCGAGUCUACCAGGAAGUCGAGAAAGCAUGUAUGAGAAACCGCAGUCCGUGUGGAAGCCUAUACUUGCUUCAGGAGUGGAGAAAACCGUCUUUUCAGUCACAACAGAGAACUUCAUUGGAGCCAUUAAGGAUGCACCUCCGCCCAUUGAGAUUCCAUGAACAAGAGCAACCGUGGUCUUUUUAUAUGUAUGAAUGUGAUUGCAAAGCCAAUACAUUCGAUAAACAACCUCAAGGCAGGAAUCCUUUGAAUUCCUGCCAUUAUAGAACAUCUUCAAAUCCCCGCCAGCAGAAAAAGCCCGGCCAGCUCCCUUGAUGAUAACAAGUUUUGCAUUCUCAUCUUUCUCCCACUUCUCGAGAUUCGCUGCAAGAAGCACUACCACUUUGGGUGAAAUGACAUUCAACUGUUUUGGGUUAUUUAAGGUAACAACUCUAGCAUUUCCAAGUUCUUCAACCAAAACAACCUCUUGUUCAAGAUUUAAUGUUUCUUGAGCCAUGAUUAAUAAAAUUCCCAAACCAAGAACAAAAUCAAAUUAAGAUUUUGAAUAAUUAGGGGUUAUGGAG
rnacentral:misc_RNA from 1 species